UUUAAAUGAUUUAGUUUAGAAACUCUAAAAACAUUCAAGUUAAAGUUAAUGUUUUUUCUCAAAGUUAGUUCUUUAACAAUCUUUUUCUCAUUGUGUUUAUUUUAAUCCUUGAUUUUUUAUGUAUUGGGUUCUUUUUGUUUAACCUUGAUUUUUGUUUCAAUCUUCUUCGUCCAAAUGGCGGGUGCUUAUGAAUGUUAGCAUCAGAUAUGAAGCAUUCUACUUUGCAAUUACUUUUAGGUUUUCCACUUGAUUUUCAAUCUAGAACUUUGCGAUUUUUGUUUGUUGAUAGUUGUGAUAUUAUUAACGGUUGAAGGUUUCUGCAAUGAGCAUUGCUGUUAAUACUAAAGAAAUUUGUUGAUAUCAUUUUCCAUCUCCCUGCAUAGAACAUGUAUAUGUGAUUCAUGUUUCAGUAACAAUCCUUUUGAGAGAAAAGGUAUGAGUAAAAGAUCUGCACACGAGUCCAAACCUUAGAGAAAACAAGAUAUGUGUUGAAAAAAAUUAAGCUUGCUAGGCAGACUGAGUGAUGCAGAAGAUCUGCUCAUCAAGAGGUGAUUCAUAUGUUUAGAAUUGGAUUAAAAGAGAUUUAACUGUUGUUUGUUGUUGGGAUUUCUAGAUGACUGUUAUUGCAAGAAUCAUGUUGCCAAGGCUUUAAUUGUUACAUUUGAUUAUGCUAUUGACUUAAAAUGACAAUAGUUACAUCUUGCAAGAACCUAAGUUUCAAGACAGCAGAUGAGAGUUUGAGGAAACAUUUAGGUGAUAGUAUUGUGGAAAUCAUGCUCUGGCUUUCAAUCA